rnacentral:lncRNA from 1 species
GGAGAACUUAUUUCCAUAAUGCUUUACUAGUCUUUUAUUCAAAAUAGAGCUAUAUAAUUUUGCUAGACAGUUUAAAAUAGAAAUACCUCUAUAGUUACAUAUGUCUUCUUUAUCUCCAGACUUAUGGAUUAAAACAAUAAAAGCUUUUUCCAGCUGGUGGGGUAAAUACCAGAUGAUAAAAUAAGAUUAAAAAGUUUAACUAUGGCUGUAACUGUAACAAUGCUACUAUAUUUUAUAAUUUCAUUAGAUAUUAAGUCAGGUCCAGCACUUUUCCCUGAUUUUAAUUCUUUUAUACAGUUCUUUACUUCUGAUAUUGAAAAUGGACUAUCAGUACAAAUAUUAUGUUCUAAAGUACUCUCAAGCAUAUUUAAAUCUUUUUUAACUUUUUCUUUAAAAGAGUUAUCAUAUUUUUCAGCUUUACCAAGAUUUUGAAAAUGUUCUUCAUAGUUAUUUAAUUUAAUAUUUGAACAAUGAUCCUGUUUAGUGUCUUCAUUUUUUAAUUUUUUAAGGAGUUCCCAAUAUUUUUUGGGGUCAUUUUCUUGCAAAUUUGUUAAUGUUUCAUAUAAGUUCUUUUUAAAUAUAAUUUUCUUUCUCUUUACUAAUUUUUUAAGUUUUUUAGCAUGUGUAAAAAAAUUACAUUUUAGCUCUAAAUUAAAUGGUUCUCGUCUCAGUUUAGCUCCUUUUGCUUUAAUAGUUUUUUUAAGAUCACGUACUUCAUGGUCAACCCAUGGUUUUCUGUUUAGUAUUUUUUGUUUAACUUUUUUAUAUCUUACAAUUUUACAUGAUUUAUUUGCUAGGCUCUCAAAAAUAUUUUUUAUAUCAGAAGUUGCCUUGUCAAUUCCUGAAAAAGUUUGUUCAAACUGUGAGUCUUCAAAAUCUCUAAUUUGUUGUUUAAUAAAAUUUUCCCCUAGUACUUCAAUCAUUUUGUCUCUUGAUGUAUUCUCCCAUCUAUAUUUCACUCCUAUCUGAGUAAAGUUUUUAUGACUUUUAUGUUCUGUGUGACAUAUAUUACAUUUCAGUAUAACAGAUAUAGGGACAUGAUCUGACAAAUAUGUUGGUUCGCCAAUAUAAAAAUAUUCGAUAGAGGACAUCAAAUCCAUGUCAGAC